UCAUGGUGUUUCUGCAGGCGUCCCACAGGUCACAGUGUUUCUGCAGGCGUCCCACAGGUCACGGUGUUUCUGCAGGUGUCCCACGGGUCACGGUGUUUCUGCAGGCAUCCUACGGGUCACGGUGUUUCUGCAGGUGUCCCACGGGUCACAGUGUUUCUGCAGGCGUCCCAUGGAUUACGGUGUUUCUGCAGGCGUCCCACAGGUCACGGUGUUUCUGCAGGCGUCCCACAGGCCAUGGUGUUUCUGCAGGUGUCCCACGGGUCACAGUGUUUCUGCAGGCAUCCCACGGGUUACAGUGUUUCUGCAGGCAUCCCACAGACAAAGUAUGGGUCAACAAGCAUGAAAAUCAUCCCUCUCCAAGGGACUACAACCAGAUAGUGGCAAGAUUGUGGGCAGCAGAUCAAAGACUAUGAGCACUGAAGAUCUUAAUUCUCUGAUUUUGGCUUCACUGGUUCACCCCAAAAAACGAAAUGGUGGAUUAUCCAGUAAUAUUCAAGCUCCAGCCACUGUUUGCAGAGAGCUGAGUGAGGGAAGUAAAGGAGGUUUUGUGGGUGAGGGGCUUCGGCAACAGCCUUGUGCGACCAUGUUAGAUAGGAGUGAGUAAUGUAACUAUCAACAGGAAUAUCAUCAAACACUGGAACAGGCAUAUGGUGCGUAACCUGAAGACUCCCUGUCUUCAAGAAUAAUAUAAGCAGCUACAAGAAGAAAAACAAACUCCAUAGUUGACCUGAGAGGUUGUGACAGCUACAGUCUCUUUACACUCAGAAACAAGGGCUGCAAUGAUGGCAGUAGAUGAGGAUGCAGAGGAUGAUGAAGCAGAAGACGAAGACGAUGAUGCCAGGACAGGUGAGCAGACCUUAUGAUGAGAGUCCCAGUCCUUGUGCUGGCAGAAGGGGCCAC